CCUUGACCUCAUUUUCACGGUUCAGUGGUCAAAGUUAAGUUUUUGAGUUUUGGUCUUUUUUUCUAAUACUAUAUGCAAUAGUUCAACUAUAUUUGGUGUAUGGAAAUAUUUUAUGAUCUAUAUGUCAGUCACGCAGGUUUUUUUUUACCUUGACCUCAUUUUCAAGGUUCAUUGCUCAGUUUUAAGUUUUUGUGUUUUGGUCUGUUUUUCUUAAACUAUAAGCAAUAGGUCAACUAUAUUUGUUGUAUGGAAGAAUUGUUAGCUGUACAUGCCUGCCUAGCAUGGUUCAUCUGACCUUGACCUCAUUUUCAUGGUUCAUUGGUCAAUGUUUAAUUUACUUGGUUAAUGUUAAGUUUAUGUGACAGUUGUAAUAAAGCUUUAUAUUUAGGACUAUCAACAUAAUAUCAAUGAUUAGUAAAGAAGGCGAGACAUUUCAUCGUGUGCACUCUUGUUUCAUUCAUAAAUUACUUUAUACUUGGAAAUGUAAUUUUGCUUGGAGUUAUAGUUUCUAAAAAAAGUAUUGUCAUUGAAAGAGUUGACAUGUUGCAAUGUACAUUUAUUCUACAUAGUUCUAUGGUACCAAAUCAAAAGUUUAUAUUAAAGAAAGAAGUCAAAGGUUUCCCAUCAUAGUUUAGUUACAUACAUUUUUUUUGUACCUGAGGUCGUUGAAUAUAGAUCAUUAUAUAAAUAAGGAGAUGUGUUAUGAUUGCCAAUGAAACAACUAUCAUCCAUACAUUGUACUUACCAGUAACAAACCACAUUUGCAAAGUUGAAUAAAAUACAGUUGAUAACAUUUACUUAUUACUAAAAAGAAAAUGCCAAACUAUUUUAAACAGUAUUUGACUAUAAACAUAGAUAAAAAAGGUACAAACUGGACAUAAUGCACUAGUUCAUAAACAAGUGAGAACAAUCGCCUUCAUAUAGUGCUCAGAAUAUGACAUUCAUAAAACUUGUUCAAUAUCAUUAGAGAACUCUAAAUCUUAAAUACUGAAAGCCACCUCUGAUAAGUACAAUGUACUAUGCAAGAUAAUGAUAUAACUGGAUAAAAAAUACACACAACCUGUAAUUAACUGCCUUUACAGCGCUUUCGCGCUUUGAUUCUGCCAGUUAACAUUACAUUCACUCUGCGGUUAAAGUUUUUAAAAUUUUAACAACUUUCUUGAACUAUCCUGGAUUUGUACCAAACUUAGAAAGAAGCUUGUUUAUGAUUAAAAGCUAGUAUCUAAAAGGAAAUUUUGUUAAAAUUUUGUUCCAUUUUUUCCGUAUUUUACUUAUAAAUGGACUUCGUUUUUCUUCCAGUUAACAUUACAUAACAGUCUGCAGUUUAAGUUUUUAUUUUAAAACAUUUAUUAGAUUCAUAAACUAUCCUGGAUUUUUACCAAACUUGGACAGAAGCUACUUACAAUCAAAAGAUAGUAUAGAGAGGAAUAUUUUUAUUAAUUUUUUUCCUCAUUUUUGUUGAGCCUGUGAUUAACAGCAGAAGUAGGCGAGACACUGGGUUCCGCGGAACCCUUACGAAUUUUUCUAGUUUCAUGACAAUAACUUGUGUGUAAGUGUAUGGAUCUUUCUGAAAUUGUACUACAAUGUUCCAUAUCACAAAGGGAAAGCUGGGUUUGAGUUUGGGGGUAAUUGCCCUAAAUGUUUAGGAA